UCCACGAAAAAGGUUGUAACAAACUACAAUUCAUUGUAUUACAAAUUCAACGUCCUGUAGUACAUAAAAAGGUUGUAACAAACUACAAUUCAUUGUAUUACAAAUUCAACAUCCUGUAGUACAUAACAAAAUUAACGACGAUUGUAGUCAUCCCAUAUCUCAUUUGCAAUGACAUCUCUCACUGUAGCCAUCUGGUUUUGUUGGGACAUAUCCAUUUCAAUACCUUCUUGUACCACAUCAAAAGCUAACUCAUCCUUAACAACUAAUCCUUCCCUUUCAUACAUGGUAAACAAUGUAUCAACUCUAUCCUCCACUCUAAUAAAAUUAUGUAGAGUACAACAUGCUAUUGGAAUUAACUUUCGUCAUCUAAGAAGAUAAUUAGGUAUUGAUUAAAAUGAGAAAUCUUGCUUUCAAUGCACAAAAAGCCCUUUCUAUCACAUUGCGCAAGGUCGAAUGUCGGUGGUUGAAUAACUCACACUUUCUUGUGAUUUGUCGUUGCAUUUGGUCAUCAUGGAAGUGAUACCGCUCGCCACGGU
rnacentral:lncRNA from 1 species